rnacentral:lncRNA from 1 species
AGCUGGGAUACCAGCAAAAAGGACCCAAAAGACUGUUUCACCACAAUUGAAGAGGUCGUGGACCAUCCCCCAAAAUGAAUCCCAACACUGGAAGACCAAGAGGGUUGACGUUUGCUAUCUUGAAAGCUGCAGCCCCCGUAGAGAAGAUCCUAGAGCAGAAGGAGCACAGGCUGGGCUGCCAUAGCAUGGACCCCCAAAAAGCCACUGUCAUGAAGAAAUAUCCUGUGAAGAAAAUCUUUGCAGGGCACCUGAACUCCCAAAGCCACUGAGGAGAAGGUAAGGGAGUACUUUGGUGAGUUUGGGGAGAUGGAGGCCAUUGAACUUUCAGUGGAUCCAAAGUCUAACAAAAGACAAUGUCUUGUUUUCGUCACCCCCCAAAGAAGAGGAACCUGUGAGAAAUAUUCUGGAGAAAUUUAACACCAUCAGUGGAAGCAAG